ACACGGAACAUGAAACAUGGCCCACUCCUCCAGUUUCAGAAGGCUAAUGUGAACCUAAUCUAAACCUGAAGGCUGUGUUACAAAUUCUUAGGGAAUAUUCUAGGAACAAAAAAGCAAACACUUUAACUUUGCAAAUCUGAGAACACUUAUUUCUUAAAAUUGUCUCACGGACACAGACCCACAUUCCAGAAGAAACCCUCCAACUAUGAAAGGCAUGCAGCUCUCAUGGUUACAACCUUAGAACAUCAAAGAGAACACGCAGUCACGGUCACUACUACAAACUCAUUUAUAAAAGCGUCUUAAGAGAAACAGGAGCAUGGCACCUGCUAAACGCACUACAUGACAACAGUGCCAACGUAGGGCUGCGAGGACAGCUGCAGGUGCCGAGACCUCACCGAGGGGCAACGACUAUUUCAACUUAUGUCUACUUACCAACACUUUGCCUACAUGUUGACCAGAACCUGUGGAAAAAAGAUUCUACUCCCUGUCAAUAGAGUGGAGUCUGCAAGCUCUAUCCACAAGGUGCCCAUGGGCCUGGGGAUAAGUGAUAAGCCAGGAGACUGCCAAGAAAGAAUCCGGAGCUUUCAGACCACCUCGCAUGCCUGACCUUGUGGAAAGCUGUCUUGAGUAUUUAAAAGGCAUAAAAAGAACUGGCAACAGGUACCAAGGAAAGGUUGCAAAUGAAGAAGAAAAAACCAAUUACAGUAUUUACUUCAGGAAAAACAAAAAGCUAAUAAUCAUCAUAGCAGAUGAAGCUCAGCUAUAAAUACUUCCAGAAACACAAUAUGAAUACUGACAUAAUAAAACUUUAUUUUAAAAUGAUUUGCAAGGGCUAGGGCUGUAGCUCUGUGGUAGAGUGCUUGCCUAGCAUGUAUGAAGCACUGGGCUCAAUUUCAGCACCACAUAUAAAUAAAUAAAAUAAAGGUCCAUUGACAACUAGAAAAAAAUAUUUUUUAAAAAACCGAUUUGCAAAUGGAUGCACACAAAACUACAUUCUAAGGAUGAAGGAUGAAAAGCAGGAGAGGAACAAGAGAGCCAUAGCCUGCACCAUGCUAGAAUAGCAGGUCAGAAGCUGACCAACCAAAUCCCUUCCACAGGCCUCUGAGAAAGAGUGGCAGGUGCAGCCAGCUGCCCCCUGCAGGGGUGCUGGAGGGAAUGGGGCUGGGACAGGAGGGCAGAGGACUGACUGCAUGGUCCUAACCUUUAAAUAUGAUGAACUCAUCUUGCAUGUGACAUUACCUGGGUAAAGCUGAAAAUAUCCAGGAACAUUUAUCUAUUCUCAGGUUUGUUAAAACCUGGUUAAGCAAAGACUAUGUAUAAAUACUUAAUUAUAAGUUUCAAAUAUAUUAAAGUAAAAAGUACCUUACACUAACAAAA